UACAGAGGGGGCAAGCGUUGUUCGGAAUUACUGGGCGUAAAGCGUGCGCAGGCGGUUAUGUAAGACAGUUGUGAAAUCCCCGGGCUCAACCUGGGAACUGCAUCUGUGACUGCAUAGCUAGAGUACGGUAGAGGGGGAUGGAAUUCCGCGUGUAGCAGUGAAAUGCGUAGAUAUGCGGAGGAACACCGAUGGCGAAGGCAAUCCCCUGGACCUGUACUGACGCUCAUGCACGAAAGCGUGGGGAGCAAACAGG
rnacentral:rRNA from 1 species